AUCUCCCUCUUUCUUUAGGCCUAACACAUGCAAGUCGAACGGCAGCACAGUAAGAGCUUGCUCUUACGGGUGGCGAGUGGCGGACGGGUGAGGAAUACAUCGGAAUCUACUUUUUCGUGGGGGAUAACGUAGGGAAACUUACGCUAAUACCGCAUACGACCUACGGGUGAAAGCAGGGGAUCUUCGGACCUUGCGCGAUUGAAUGAGCCGAUGUCGGAUUAGCUAGUUGGCGGGGUAAAGGCCCACCAAGGCGACGAUCCGUAGCUGGUCUGAGAGGAUGAUCAGCCACACUGGAACUGAGACACGGUCCAGACUCCUACGGGAGGCAGCAGUGGGGAAUAUUGGACAAUGGGCGCAAGCCUGAUCCAGCCAUACCGCGUGGGUGAAGAAGGCCUUCGGGUUGUAAAGCCCUUUUGUUGGGAAAGAAAAGCAGCAGGUUAAUACCCCGCUGUUCUGACGGUACCCAAAGAAUAAGCACCGGCUAACUUCGUG
rnacentral:rRNA from 1 species